rnacentral:sRNA from 1 species
CUGCAAUUUAAAAAUAAAUCAAAGUUUAAAAGCUUAAUAUUUUCAUUUUUUGAUUUUUGAAAUAUAAAAUAUACCAUUGCUAUUUUGCUUACUUUUGUUUUUUUUCUUCCUUCCUCUCUGUUUUAGUGGCAUGCCCUCUCCCGUGAAGAGCAGGCUAAAUAUUAUGAAUUAGCACGGAAAGAAAGACAGCUACAUAUGCAGCUUUAUCCAGGCUGGUCUGCAAGAGACAAUUAUGGUAAGAAAAAGAAGAGGAAGAGAGAGAAACUACAGGAAUCUACAUCAGGUACAGGUCCAAGAAUGACAGCUGCCUACAUCUGAAACAUGGUGGAAAACGAAGCUCAUUCCCAACGUGCAAAGCCAAGGCAGCGACCCCAGGACCUCUUCUGGAGAUGGAAGCUUGUUGAAAACCCAGACUGUCUCCACGGCCCGCCCAGUCGACCCCAAAGGAACACUGACAUCAAUUUUACCCUGAGGUCACUGCUAGAGAUGCUGAUCCAUAAAGACAAUCACUGCCAACCCCUCUUUUGUCUACUGCAAGAGCCAAGUUCC